AGGGUUCGAUUCUGGCUCAGGAUGAACGCUAGCUACAGGCUUAACACAUGCAAGUCGAGGGGCAGCAUUUGAAAGCUUGCUUCAAAGAUGGCGACCGGCGCACGGGUGAGUAACGCGUAUCCAACUUCCCCUUAGUAGGGCAUAGCCCGGUGAAAAUCGGAUUAAUACCCUAUGUUCUUCGUAGAGGACAUCUGAAAUGAAGCAAAGGUUCACCGCUAAGGGAUGGGGAUGCGUCUGAUUAGGUAGUAGGCGGGGUAACGGCCCACCUAGCCGACGAUCAGUAGGGGUUCUGAGAGGAAGGUCCCCCCACAUUGGAACUGAGACACGGUCCAAACUCCUACGGGAGGCAGCAGUGAGGAAUAUUGGUCAAUGGGCGAGAGCCUGAACCAGCCAAGUAGCGUGCAGGAUGACGGCCCUAUGGGUUGUAAACUGCUUUUAUAUGGGGAUAAAGUGAGCCACGUGUGGCUUUUUGUAGGUACCAUAUGAAUAAGGACCGGCUAAUUCCGUGCCAGCCGCCGC
rnacentral:rRNA from 1 species